UACGAAGGGGGCUAGCGUUGCUCGGAAUCACUGGGCGUAAAGGGUGCGUAGGCGGGUCUUUAAGUCAGGGGUGAAAUCCUGGAGCUCAACUCCAGAACUGCCUUUGAUACUGAAAAUCUUGAGUUCGGGAGAGGUGAGUGGAACUGCGAGUGUAGAGGUGAAAUUCGUAGAUAUUCGCAAGAACACCAGUGGCGAAGGCGGCUCACUGGCCCGAUACUGACGCUGAGGCACGAAAGCGUGGGGAGCAAACAGG
rnacentral:rRNA from 1 species